UUGGAGAGAUAUUUGAAAGGAAACAUCUUCAAGAAUUUGAUAAAUUAGUGAUCUGAGGGAUGAACAAGAGCGGAAUUCCCCAGGUGCAUGGCACAGCCUGAUACAUAAAGGGACACCCAGUGUGCAGCACAACCAGGUUUCCCUCCCUUUGCUGACCGAAGCAGCUGAAGCCACAGCAGCUGGCAGUGGGCAAGGUAAGCUCCUGGCUUCCUGGAAAAAUCCUAGGCAGACCUCAGCGUCAGUCGGACUGUAUUUGAUCUGCCAGGUACAUGUUCAGUAGGACAGAAGGGCUUGGGGUUUGAACAGUUUUUAGUGUAAAUCUAUCUGUGCUCAGAGAAGUGGGCUACAUGCACCCAUCUUUGGAAAGGAACCAUUUUCACCUAGAAGAGCCCUCACCAAAGUAAUAUCCUUAGUGGAAACGGAAUUUGUUUAAUAUUCCAUUAGUGAUUUCUACCCCUUGCACCUACCCAAUUCGACAAAUAUUUAUUAAGCUCCUAGCAAGUACUUAGGACUCUGUGAUGUGCUACGGACUAUCGUGAAGGAGUAAACUUGAAUUAAUGACAAAACAAAAUGAAACCAUUGUUUAAGUAUCUUCAUAGGAAUUCCAUUACUAGAAGCAAUGAGAAAGUAUGAACCCCAAGUUAGUGAUACCCCCGCCAUUCCUCAUCCUCAUAUGCACACGCAGACACAGAGAAGAGCUGAGGUGGAAAUGUCCUCGAGGUAAAAAUACCCAGGGCUUCUUACACAGUGCCAGGUGUCCUGGCUGUGCUGCCCCACGCUGUCCUCUCAUUGAUGAAAUGCUGAUGAAGCUGCUUUGUGCUCCAGAAUGGACCAAUGGGUCAUUCUCUGUUUCUUGUCAACUUCAAAGAGGCUGGGCAGACUGAGUUUGUUUUAACUCUACUGACCCCAAAUGCUUUUGUCUGUAUCAGACUUUAUUCUUAUCUUUUCAGAAAUGGAACCGUUUCUCUUUUUCCUGUUUCCUCAUGUUUUCCUACAAGGCACAAACUUACAAAAGACCGUUUCUGAAAGUGGAGCAGACAGGAAAAGCACCCAAUUUUGGUUUGUUUCUAAAUAUUUACAGAAUUUUCCAAAGUCGGUCCUUUUGGUGUGUCACAGAGCGGGGAUUCCAUCUCAAUCUACCUUGAAAGAUGAUUGAAUUAAACAAGCAUUUGGUGAGCAUCUGCUUUGUAUCGGCUUUGUUCCCAGGGAGUUAGAGAUGAAGUAGGAUUUGUCCCUGCCCUUGAGGAGUUUAAAAUCUAAUUGAGCGAGAGAAGCAACAGUAAUUAAGCCAAGAAGUUACUUCUGAGUUUUUUGAGUCACAUUCCUGGCUUCGGUGUUUCUAUGUGUAAUGGCCAGAAGGGUCUAUUAGUUUUAAUCUAUGUAACAUAGUAGAUUUAGUUGUUCAUGAAAAACAUCUUUCUAACCCAAAUAAAGGGAACUCAAUCUAGACACUGGGGCUGCUUUUACGAAUUUUCAAGCUAAUUUGAUUAUGUAGUUCUUUUUCUCAUAGUCCUUUGUUCCAGACUCUCUAACUGUGAACAUUCAACACUCACCCAGUCCUGCCACUUACCCUGGAGGGUAAAGCUGGAUCAGGCAUGAAUCCAGCUCUCCAGGAGCUCACUGCCAAGCUCAGCAGGCGAGACAGGACAUGAGGGAGAAAGUCACUGGUGCACAAGAACACUCAGACCACAGGACCAGCAACUGGGGUCUUGUCCUGAGAGCUGGGAGCCCCACCUCGCAGCUGUUCCUGAUGUCCCCACAUCAGGAUGCACCCUAAGGACUGUGGGAAGGGCUUUGUGCCUUUUGGAUGAAAGGUGUAUUAUAUAAGUUCCAUAAAAACUUUUUGGAUAAAUUUAGAAAAAAAUAAUAGACAAUGAUGAUAAUAACAUCCAGCAUUUUUGAGUGCUCAUUAUAUGCUUGGCACUAAACUAAUGGUGGGAAUACAGCUCGAAUCUGUAACUCUGUUUAUAUCUGCUGCUCCCCAAAUUAUCAAAAUAUUCAUUUCUAAAUGGAGCCUGUUCAUGACUGUUAACCUGAGUGAUUUUUUCACGGGAAUUCAUCAUACCAUCCUCUCUACUUUUGUGUUUUGAAAUUUUCCAUAAUAAGAGGCUAUGCAAAAAAGGAAGGGGGCUAAAUAAACUUCAGUAACCCAAAUAAUAUCUCAGAUAAAAGAUGGAGAAGAAAGAAGGAAGUCACUGUUCUCCUGUGUUCACUGUGUGUCAGAUCCUUCACAUUCACUAUGUGUGAAUUAAUGGCCAGCCCGUUUUACUAGUGAGGCAAAUGAGGCUCCGACCGGUUAAAAGCUUUUUUUAAGGAGUUGACACCGGCCCAAAGCUUAGCCCUUUCCAGUAAGCCACACCGCCCUUCUGGUCCACACGGUUUCUGCAGGCAGCAUCGCCAUGAAUUAUCCUGGCAGCCCGCAGUGCCAGCCGGUGAAACCACAGAGCUGCUGUUUGGAAGUCCCUCAGACCUACCUACAGUUCAAAACCCAAUAAAGUGUUCCGAAAACAUGAUGCUCCAGGAAAAAAUUUAAAGCAAUAUAUGAAAACUGUCAAAGCAAUGGCUACUGGUAAUUUUUAUCUGAUAGGACUGUCCUAAAAUGUCCAUUUUCUGGGGGUGUGUGCGUGUGCACACGCAUGUCUAAUAUUUGGGACUUUGGGGUAACCAACUUUUAUUUCCAGACAUUUCACAACCUCUCUGUCAGGCCAGGAAUAAGCCCCAUUUACAGAGGCGGACAGAGGGCAGUCGGCGUCGCCGCCCAGCGAGGAGGGGGCAGCGGGCCGGGCCUCAGGCGUCUGCUCUCCCACCACUUCGAUCCUCAGGCAGCAGAUCCACCCCAUCGUUAGUGCCAUGCUUUCUGAGUGUCAAUUAGCAGCUUUUCUGAGAAGACAGAGGCCUCUAGGGGAAAGCAAAAGAACUAACUACGGCUGAACAAUACUGGAAAGGAGAUCACAAAGUAGCAUGGGUGCAGGAUGAAGCACCAGGACCUGCUUUGAAAAGAGAGAGAGAGAAAAAUCAAAACAGUGGGGGAAGUGAGAUCCUGUGGCAACAGAAGGGAGCAGAGGGGGAUUACCUUCGACUGCCUCCGGAACACCUGCAACCAAAACAAAGAAUCAGAGGAAGGGAAAGCCAGAGGACUAGGCUGGAGAGGAGAAAAUUUGGCUGUUGGGUUAAGAAGAGAAUAGGGGCAACCCAACCAGUCACACCUAAUCUGACAACAUUGGGAGUUUUCCUGGAAAAACAAUGACUGCAUUGAGCUGCUUGCUUCUAACUUCAUUUGACAGCCAGAGUUUGUUUUAAUUGGCAUGUGAAUGAAUAGCAUUAUUUAUUAAUGUGUAAUGGAUACUUUGGAAAGCAUAACCUUUUUUCCUAUCUGUGACCAUUUUAUUGGCGGAACCAUUUGAAUAUAAUAGUUUUAAUAUUUAAACUUGCUGGGAACACUUUUUCAUGGAGAUGUACAAGCUGUUAUGACAAAUGGUUUGGUUUGGAAUAAUGAGCCAGCUUGGAGUGGCAUUUGGCAGGGAGGGGGGUGGGAAGGUGAGGGGGUUUGGAGUGAGAGCCACUUGUCUGUCUGCUUUAACAAGAUUUAUGAGUAGUGUGUAAAAACAUGUUUUAGCUUUUUUUCCCCCUCAACUAUAUAAAUAUAGUUGUCGAUGUGUGACAUAACCCAGGCCACCAUAAUAGACUCCACCCAGCCAGCAGGAAUCUAAUUCAGAGCUAGAAAGCAAGACGCUUGCCUAGAAACGAACAGAAUGAGAUGAUGAGGACAUGGGUGAGUGGCCUUUGGCAUGCAGGAGCUGGCAUUCUUCUUUAGUGCCUUACUAAAAUUAGGGCUGAAAAUUAGUUUUUGUAUUAUUAAGUACAGUGUUUGACAUAAAGUAGGCAUAAAAAAUAGGUAACCUGAAUAGAAUUGAUUUUGUAUGCUGAUGAACACCUGAACAUAAUUCCAUUUUUAGAUCUAAUACACAGCCUUGUUAAUUAUGAAUCAUGGUUGGGGUUAUAGUCCUUUUGUGUCUGUGAGGGGCAGCAAUGGGAGGUCAAUGGAGGGUGGCCAGGGAACUCUUGUUUUUGUUUUUUGUUUUUUUUUUGGUAAAUAUCGACCUGAUUCUAUUUGUUGCAGAGAUUAAAUGGGUACCCUUAAGUUAGUUAGAAAGUAUGUUAAUAAAAAAACAAUUUACAACCACCUACAUUUUUUUGUCUCUCUCUAGCGACUGUCAGUUGAAUGCUUGCAAGCCAGUGUCCUAAGUACAGUAAUACUAGGAGGUAUUAAAACAGCCCCUGCCUUCAAGGAACUUUUAUAACGUAAUUGGAGAGAAGAGACACAUGUAAGCACCCACAUACACGAUGCGUGUG
ensembl:lncRNA